rnacentral:rRNA from 1 species
UACAGAGGUCUCAAGCGUUGUUCGGAUUCAUUGGGCGUAAAGGGCGCGUAGGCGGCGGGGUAAGUCGGGUGUGAAAUCUCAGAGCUCAACUCUGAAACUGCACUCGAUACUGCUCUGCUUGAGGACUGGAGAGGAGACUGGAAUUCACGGUGUAGCAGUGAAAUGCGUAGAUAUCGUGAGGAAGACCAGUGGCGAAGGCGGCUCACUGGACCAUUACUGACGCUGAUGCACGAAAGCUAGGGAAGCAAACAGG